rnacentral:lncRNA from 1 species
AUGGGAGUCCCUUUAUGAUGUUAAGUAGGGUCUCUGUGGCCGAAUGAUCUAAUUAGUUGAACUAGCCUGUCAACACUGAUGUUGGGAGUUCGAUUCCGCACGUGAUAGUGACUCCAAUUUAAACUUACUAGGAUUGUUAUUUUUCCUACCGAAGUAGUGGUUGUCUCCGCGUACUCCAGCUUACUCUACCAAUAAAAACUGACCGCCACGCAAUAGCACAUAGUGUUGAAUUAGUUUAAUUCGUAUUCGAAACGUUUUACGUCUGAACGUUAAUUCUAAUACGAAUUGCAAUGCGCGUCAAAUUCGCUUUACUAUCCGAACGACGAUAAAUUUUAAUUUGUAUUAUAAAAACGUAUUUCUAAUGCAAAUUGGAUAAUGCGAAUUAGCCAAUUCGAAUCAAUUCGAAUUAAAAAAAGAAGAGUGUGUGAACGCGAUUAGCGAAUUCGAUUCGCAUUCGAUCGAAUUCAAUUCGAAUUAAAUGUACGUAUGAACCGGUCAGGAAUUUAUGCGAAUUGGAAAAUGCGAUUAAGCUAAAUCGAAUCAAUUCGAAUUAAAAAUGUACGGUGUGACCGAGGCAUAAAUAAAAAAACGGG